AUUGAACGCUGGCGGCAGGCCUAACACAUGCAAGUCGAGCGGAGCGGCGGACGGGUGAGUAAUGCCUAGGAAUCUGCCUGGUAGUGGGGGAUAACGUCCGGCAACGGGCGCUAAUACCGCAUACUCUCAGAUGAGCCUGGGUCGGAUUAGCUAGUUGGUGGGGUAAAGGCCUACCAAGGCGACGAUCCGUAACUGGUCUGAGAGGGUGAUCGUUCAAACCGGGACGGAGACACGGGCCAGACUCCUCCGGGAUGCAGUAGGGGGGAAUAUUGGGCAAUGGGCGAAAGCCUGAAUCAGCCAUGCCGCGUGUGUGAAGAAGGUCUUCGAAUUGUAAAACACGUUAAGUUGGGAGGCGUUACCAACAGAAUAAGCACCGGCUAACUGCGUGCCAGCCGCCGCGGUAAUAC
rnacentral:rRNA from 1 species